UGCCGGCCCCCCCGCGACGCGAAAUUGUGAACCCCGUCAGGCCCGGAAGGGAGCAGCGGUAACGAUGGAAGCGGGUGCCGGGAUAAGGCGGGUAUGG
rnacentral:SRP_RNA from 2 species